UACGGAGGGUGCAAGCGUUAAUCGGAAUUACUGGGCGUAAAGCGUGCGUAGGCGGCUCUUUAAGUCGGGGGUGAAAUCCUGGAGCUCAACUCCAGAACUGCCUUCGAUACUGAAGAGCUCGAGUCCGGGAGAGGUGAGUGGAACUGCGAGUGUAGAGGUGAAAUUCGUAGAUAUUCGCAAGAACACCAGUGGCGAAGGCGGCUCACUGGCCCGGUACUGACGCUGAGGUGCGAAAGCGUGGGGAGCAAACAGG
rnacentral:rRNA from 1 species